UUAGGUAGCGCCUCGUGAAUUCAUCUCCGGGGGUAGAGCACUGUUUCGGCUAGGGGGCCAUCCCGGCUUACCAACCCGAUGCAAACUGCGAAUACCGGAGAAUGUUAUCACGGGAGACACACGGCGGGUGCUAACGUCCGUCGUGAAGAGGGAAACAACCCAGACCGCCAGCUAAGGUCCCAAAGUCAUGGUUAAGUGGGAAACGAUGUGGGAAGGCCCAGACAGCCAGGAUGUUGGCUUAGAAGCAGCCAUCAUUUAAAGAAAGCGUAAUAGCUCACUGGUCGAGUCGGCCUGCGCGGAAGAUGUAACGGGGCUAAACCAUGCACCGAAGCUGCGGCAGCGACGCUUAUGCGUUGUUGGGUAGGGGAGCGUUCUGUAAGCCUG
rnacentral:rRNA from 1 species